GUUUAACUUUAUCAGUAAAGCAAGCGCCGCAUCAAGCACAGACAUAUCGGUGCCUGCCCUGAGGGUAAAGACAGUCUUCAAAUGGGUGGACAGCAACGCUGUAUGUUUUGCCUGCAUACAGCACAUAUGUGCCUGCUACUUGCUGAUGCCAGAGGAAGGAACUGGAAGCCCUGUAUGUGGAGUUACCAUGUGGGACUUGGAAACAGCAUUCAGAUUCUCUGCAAGAGCAACAGGUGCUGGUAGCUGCUGAACCAUCUCUCGGGCUCAUCUUUGACUUUCUGAAUCAAUGGUUUUUCAGGGGGUGGUUUCCCUCUUCUGAGAAGUGACACAUUUAUAUUUUUAAAGAUUUAUUUUAAUUUAAAUUAAGUUCAUGGGAUCAAAGGUUUGCACAUAAAUAUAGAUGCCUUCAGAGUGCUGAAAAGAUUGGAUCUCCUUGAGCUGAAAUUACAGGCAGUAAUGAGCGAAGUGCUAAGAACUGAACUCAGGUCCUCUGCAAGAGCAGCAAGCUCCCUUAGCCACAGAGCUCUCCCUCAUUUCUAAUACAUAAAAUAAAUUAUCCAUACUCACAUUAUAUUGACAUAAGGAUCUUCUGUACAUUUUUGUUUAUAUUUUUAAUUACAUCUAUUGAGUGAAUGCUCAGUAACUGCUGGUCCUACGUGGGACAUCAAAGGACAACUUGUGAGUGUUGAUUCUCUUCUUCUAUCACAUAGGUCCCAGGAAUUAAAUACAAGCUGUCAAUCUUCGCAGCGAGUACCUGGGCCAGGUUGACUCAUCUCGGAAUGACUGAAAAGAACAAAAAGAAACACCAGAAACUUUGAGAAAGCUGAAUUUAAGGUGUCACCUUGGUGUCUGAGAGCCAGUUCUGAGCAGCAGGUUGUAUGGAAAGUUUGAGAACAUACUAUAGGGGCUAAGUUCAAGAUCUGCAGUAGAGAGCUGGCUGACUGCCUAAUGGUAGUCAUAAGAAUCAAACACAGGCCUGCACCAGGCUUCUGUGUAUGUUAUGGUUGACAGCUUGGUGUCUGAGGGACUCCUAACUGUGGGAACAGGGUGUGUCUCUGACUCUCUUGCCAGCUCUUGGGACUCUUCUCCUAUUUGGUUUCCUUGUCCAGUCUAGAUAUGGUGGUGUCUGCCUUGUCUUCUUGCAUCUUGCUUUGUCCUGGUUGGCUGCUGUCUUU
rnacentral:lncRNA from 1 species